rnacentral:rRNA from 1 species
UACCGCUAUUGGGAUUCGAUAAUCCAUGCGAGUCGAGGAGUCUUAGGGACUCGUGCGUACCGCUCAGUAACACGUGGGUAACCUGCACCUAUGCUGGGGAAUAACCUCGGGAAACUGAGAAUAAUGCCCCGAUAGUCCACCAUGCCUGGGAACGGUUGGUGGAAUCAAAGCCCCGGCAGGCAUAGGAUGGGCCUGCGGCGUAUCAGGUUGUAGGAGCCUGUAACAUACCCUCUGAACCAUCAGACAACGUACGGGUGUUGAGAGACAUAGACCGGGAGAUGGGAUUCUGAGACUCGGGUCCAGACCCUACGGGAGUGCAGCCAAGCGCAAAGAUCUUGGCAAUGCG